CACGUAGGGGGCAAGCGUUGUCCGGAAUUAUUGGGCGUAAAGAGCUCGUAGGCGGCUCGGUAAGUCAGGUGUCAAAUCCUCAGGCUCAACCUGGGGCUCCACCUGAUACUGCUGUGGCUAGAGUCCGGUAGGGGAGCGUGGAAUUCCUGGUGUAGCGGUGAAAUGCGCAGAUAUCAGGAGGAACACCGGUGGCGAAGGCGGUUCUCUGGGCAUUACCUGACGCUGAGGAGCGAAAGCAUGGGGAGCGAACAGG
rnacentral:rRNA from 1 species